AGUCGAGCGCGAGCGUAAGGAGCUUGCUCCUUACAAUCGAGCGGCGGACGGGUGAGUAACACGUGGGCAACCUACCCUUUAGACUGGGAUAACUACCGGAAACGGUAGCUAAUACCGGAUAAGUUGGAUUACACAAGUAAUCUUAAUGAAAGGCGGAUUUAUCUGUCACUAAAGGAUGGGCCUGCGGUGCAUUAGCUAGUUGGUGAGGUAGUGGCUCACCAAGGCAACGAUGCAUAGCCGACCUGAGAGGGUGAUCGGCCACACUGGGACUGAGACACGGCCCAGACUCCUACGGGAGGCAGCAGUAGGGAAUCUUCCGCAAUGGACGCAAGUCUGACGGAGCAACGCCGCGUGAGUGAAGAAGGGUUUCGGCUCGUAAAACUCUGUUGUUAAGGAAGAACACUUUAGGUAGUAACUGGCCUAGAGAUGACGGUACUUAACCAGAAAGCCACGGCUAACUACGUGCCAGCAGCCGCGGUAAUACGUAGGUGGCAAGCGUUAUCCGGAAUUAUUGGGCGUAAAGCGCGCGUAGGCGGUAGAAUAAGUCUGAUGU
rnacentral:rRNA from 1 species